CUUUAUUGCUUCCUUACGCACCCAUGAUUCAUAUUCUUUCUCUUUCUCUCACUGUGUGAUGUCACCUGCCAUGUUAUGACACAACACAAAGGCUCUCAGGAGAUGCAGCUGCCUAAGAUACUGGAACUGUGAGCUAUAUAACCUUCCUUUCUUUACAACGUAUCCAGCCCUAAGUAUUUUGUUACGGCAAAUCAGACAAAUAGAAGGACUAGUAUUUACUCGGCCUUUUCUUAUGAGUAUGGUGGCCUCUGCCAUGAGGUCUCUCUAGGACCCAACAGAUACUGACACAUGCCCUUGAAUCUCUAGAGACUCGUGAUCUCUGCCUCCUGUGACAUCCCAGCCUGGGGCUCCAUGGACUCCCUCUUUUCCUAACCUCUCAUCGGGAAGAUAAAUCAACCCCAUUCCCCUGUGGUCUACUCCCUCGGCAAUACUUAACUCGUUUACCACAGCUUAGCUUACAAGUGUGCCUUUUUUUUUUCCAGACAGUCCACAAACGCACUGAUAAAGCAAAUAUUCUCUUAUGAGCCCUGUGCUCUGCUUUCAAUAAAU
rnacentral:lncRNA from 1 species